AUGCUUUCAAGGACACUUACUGUUAUUCCAACUCAACUACAGUCCAAUUUUCAGCUCCACAAAAUUCUGAUGUCGCUUUCAUCUCUUGUGCAUCUGGCCAGACAACAUGAUGCAGCCUGGAAUUGCCAUCUCUCCUCCUGGGAGGUUUAUCCCUCCCAUCUGCUACAUUUCACCCAAAUGAGGAUGCAGAUCAGAAACAUGGUGAGUGUUGGACCACAUCCCUCCUGUCCUCUUUUUCUUUUUCAUGUAGACAAGAACACAAGCCACUCCACUGGGGGAUAUUAUUAUAAUUAGCAUCGCCAUCAUUUAAAUCGAACUCUACUCAAAGUAUACCUUCUUAUGGAAAGUGGUUUGCCCAAUCUCGAGUCCAAGAUCAUUUUAGGUCACUAUCUGAGCCCCACUAUCAAUAUAUGAUGCCACAUCCUUUUUAAUUAUUAUUGUCUAAUUUUUAUUGUACCUAUAACUCGACAUAAUUUUGUCCGUGAUGGAUUAUGUAUGCCCAGCAAAGUGUGCUGAGAGGGAACACGCUGUGAAACAGAAAAGCAGAGAAGUCAAACAAGAAAAGUUUGCGAGUAAAUGUGAGUAGCUAACUGCAUUGUCCACCGUCUUGAAUGCUACCCAGAGGUCAAAUAAAAUGGCAGAAAAAUUAGCGUUGAGUUUGGAG
rnacentral:lncRNA from 1 species